UUGUGAGGUUAAGCGACUAAGCGUACACGGUGGAUGCCCUGGCAGUCAGAGGCGAUGAAGGGCGUGCUAAUCUGCGAUAAGCGCCGGUAAGGUGAUAUGAACCGUUAUAACCGGCGAUACCCGAAUGGGGAAACCCAGUGUGAUUCGUCACACUAUCAUUAACUGAAUCCAUAGGUUAAUGAGGCGAACCGGGGGAACUGAAACAUCUAAGUACCCCGAGGAAAAGAAAUCAACCGAGAUUCCCCCAGUAGCGGCGAGCGAACGGGGAGGAGCCCAGAGCCUGAAUCAGCAUGUGUGUUAGUGGAAGCGUCUGGAAAGGCGCGCGAUACAGGGUGACAGCCCCGUACACAAAAGCGCAUGUGCUGUGAGCUCGAUGAGUAGGGCGGGACACGUGGUAUCCUGUCUGAAUAUGGGGGGACCAUCCUCCAAGGCUAAAUACUCCUGACUGACCGAUAGUGAACCAGUACCGUGAGGGAAAGGCGAAAAGAACCCCGGCGAGGGGAGUGAAAAAGAACCUGAAACCGUGUACGUACAAGCAGUGGGAGCACAGGUUUACCUGUGUGACUGCGUACCUUUUGUAUAAUGGGUCAGCGACUUAUAUUCUGUAGCAAGGUUAACCGUAUAGGGGAGCCGGAGGGAAACCGAGUCUUAAUUGGGCGUUAAGUUGCAGGGUAUAGACCCGAAACCCGGUGAUCUAGCCAUGGGCAGGUUGAAGGUUGGGUAACACUAACUGGAGGACCGAACCGACUAAUGUUGAAAAAUUAGCGGAUGACCUGUGGCUGGGGGUGAAAGGCCAAUCAAACCGGGAGAUAGCUGGUUCUCCCCGAAAGCUAUUUAGGUAGCGCCUCGUGAAUUCAUCUCCGGGGGUAGAGCACUGUUUCGGCUAGGGGGCCAUCCCGGCUUACCAACCCGAUGCAAACUGCGAAUACCGGAGAAUGUUAUCACGGGAGACACACGGCGGGUGCUAACGUCCGUCGUGAAGAGGGAAACAACCCAGACCGCCAGCUAAGGUCCCAAAGUCAUGGUUAAGUGGGAAACGAUGUGGGAAGGCCCAGACAGCCAGGAUGUUGGCUUAGAAGCAGCCAUCAUUUAAAGAAAGCGUAAUAGCUCACUGGUCGAGUCGGCCUGCGCGGAAGAUGUAACGGGGCUAAACCAUGCACCGAAGCUGCGGCAGCGAACGUAUCACCCAAGACAACUUUACGGAGUUGACGAUUGACGGAGCGAAGCGACGUCAAAGCGUUCAUUAAAGUCGAGUUGGCUUAGGGAUACGUUCGUUGGGUAGGGGAGCGUUCUGUAAGCCUGUGAAGGUGUGUCGUGAGGCAUGCUGGAGGUAUCAGAAGUGCGAAUGCUGACAUAAGUAACGAUAAAGCGGGUGAAAAGCCCGCUCGCCGGAAGACCAAGGGUUCCUGUCCAACGUUAAUCGGGGCAGGGUGAGUCGACCCCUAAGGCGAGGCCGAAAGGCGUAGUCGAUGGGAAACGGGUUAAUAUUCCCGUACUUGGUGUUACUGCGAAGGGGGGACGGAGAAGGCUAUGUUGGCCGGGCGACGGUUGUCCCGGUUUAAGCGUGUAGGUGUGUGUUCCAGGUAAAUCCGGUUCACUUUAACACUGAGGCGUGACGACGAGGCACUACGGUGCUGAAGCAACAAAUGCCCUGCUUCCAGGAAAAGCCUCUAAGCAUCAGGUAACAUCAAAUCGUACCCCAAACCGACACAGGUGGUCAGGUAGAGAAUACCAAGGCGCUUGAGAGAACUCGGGUGAAGGAACUAGGCAAAAUGGUGCCGUAACUUCGGGAGAAGGCACGCUGACACGUAGGUGAAGUGAUUUACUCAUGGAGCUGAAGUCAGUCGAAGAUACCAGCUGGCUGCAACUGUUUAUUAAAAACACAGCACUGUGCAAACACGAAAGUGGACGUAUACGGUGUGACGCCUGCCCGGUGCCGGAAGGUUAAUUGAUGGGGUCAGCGCAAGCGAAGCUCCUGAUCGAAGCCCCGGUAAACGGCGGCCGUAACUAUAACGGUCCUAAGGUAGCGAAAUUCCUUGUCGGGUAAGUUCCGACCUGCACGAAUGGCGUAAUGAUGGCCAGGCUGUCUCCACCCGAGACUCAGUGAAAUUGAACUCGCUGUGAAGAUGCAGUGUACCCGCGGCAAGACGGAAAGACCCCGUGAACCUUUACUAUAGCUUGACACUGAACAUUGAGCCUUGAUGUGUAGGAUAGGUGGGAGGCUUUGAAGUGUGGACGCCAGUCUGCAUGGAGCCGACCUUGAAAUACCACCCUUUAAUGUUUGAUGUUCUAACGUGGACCCGUAAUCCGGGUUGCGGACAGUGUCUGGUGGGUAGUUUGACUGGGGCGGUCUCCUCCUAAAGAGUAACGGAGGAGCACGAAGGUUGGCUAAUCCUGGUCGGACAUCAGGAGGUUAGUGCAAUGGCAUAAGCCAGCUUGACUGCGAGCGUGACGGCGCGAGCAGGUGCGAAAGCAGGUCAUAGUGAUCCGGUGGUUCUGAAUGGAAGGGCCAUCGCUCAACGGAUAAAAGGUACUCCGGGGAUAACAGGCUGAUACCGCCCAAGAGUUCAUAUCGACGGCGGUGUUUGGCACCUCGAUGUCGGCUCAUCACAUCCUGGGGCUGAAGUAGGUCCCAAGGGUAUGGCUGUUCGCCAUUUAAAGUGGUACGCGAGCUGGGUUUAGAACGUCGUGAGACAGUUCGGUCCCUAUCUGCCGUGGGCGCUGGAGAACUGAGGGGGGCUGCUCCUAGUACGAGAGGACCGGAGUGGACGCAUCACUGGUGUUCGGGUUGUCAUGCCAAUGGCACUGCCCGGUAGCUAAAUGCGGAAGAGAUAAGUGCUGAAAGCAUCUAAGCACGAAACUUGCCCCGAGAUGAGUUCUCCCUGAGACUU
rnacentral:rRNA from 1 species